rnacentral:rRNA from 1 species
CCGGUAAACGGCGGCCGUAACUAUAACGGUCCUAAGGUAGCGAAAUUCCUUGUCGGGUAAGUUCCGACCUGCACGAAUGGCGUAAUGAUGGCCAGGCUGUCUCCACCCGAGACUCAGUGAAAUUGAACUCGCUGUGAAGAUGCAGUGUACCCGCGGCAAGACGGAAAGACCCCGUGAACCUUUACUAUAGCUUGACACUGAACAUUGAGCCUUGAUGUGUAGGAUAGGUGGGAGGCUUUGAAGUGUGGACGCCAGUCUGCAUGGAGCCGACCUUGAAAUACCACCCUUUAAUGUUUGAUGUUCUAACGUUGGCCCGU